rnacentral:rRNA from 1 species
ACAAAUUAGAGUGCUUAAAGCAGGCUAAAACUUUGCCUGAAUACUGUGUGCAUGGAAUAAUGGAAUAGGACCUCGGUUCUAUUUUGUUGGUUUUCGGAACUCCGAGGUAAUGAUUAAUAGGAACGGAUGGGGGCAUUCGUAUUGCGACGUUAGAGGUGAAAUUCUUGGAUCGUCGCAAGACGGACAGAAGCGAAAGCAUUUGCCAAAAACGCUUUCAUUGAUCAAGAACGAAAGUUAGAGGUUCGAAGGCGAUCAGAUACCGCCCUAGUUCUAACCAUAAACGAUGCCAGCUAGCGAUCCGCCGACGUUCCUCCGAUGACUCGGCGGGCAGCUUCCGGGAAACCAAAGCUUUUGGGUUCCGGGGGAAGUAUGGUUGCAAAGCUGAAACUUAAAGGAAUUGACGGAAGGGCACCACCAGGAGUGGAGCCUGCGGCUUAAUUUGACUCAACACGGGAAACCUCACCAGGCCCGGACACCGGAAGGAUUGACAGAUUGACAGCUCUUUCUUGAUUCGGUGGGUGGUGGUGCAUGGCCGUUCUUAGUUGGUGGA